CACGUUGAAACACCGGUUUUUGUACGAUCAUCGAAGUUAAGCAAUGUCGAGCCUGGUCAGUACUUAGAUGGGUGACUGCUUGGGAAUGCCAAGCGCUGUAA